rnacentral:misc_RNA from 1 species
GCUUAGGGCUGCAACUGAUCAUUUCAAUUCAAAGAACAUUCUGGGGAGAGGUGGAUUUGGGAUAGUUUACAAGGGAUGUUUGAAUGAUGGAACACUGUUGGCUGUCAAAAGGCUGAAGGACUAUAAUGUGGCUGGGGGGUCCAAUUCCAGACGGAAGUAGAAACAAUAAGCUUAGCUGUCCACCGAAAUCUGCUCAGGCUCUCUGGGUUCUGCACUACUGAGAAUGAAAGGCUUCUUGUUUACCC